UACGUAGGUGGGCAAGCGUUGUCCGGAUUUAUUGGGCGUAAAGGGAGCGCAGGCGGUCUUUGAAGUCUGAAUGUGAAAGCCCUCAGCUUAACUGAGGAAGCGCAUCGGAAACUGAAAGACUUGAGUGCAGAAGAGGAGAGUGGAACUCCAUGUGUAGCGGUGAAAUGCGUAGAUAUAUGGAAGAACACCAGUGGCGAAGGCGGCUCUCUGGUCUGUAACUGACGCUGAGGUUCGAAAGCAUGGGUAGCGAACAGG
rnacentral:rRNA from 1 species